AACGCCGGCGGCGUGCCUAAUACAUGCAAGUCGGACGCACUUUCGUUGAAUGAUUUAGAGAUGCUUGCAUCGAAGAUGAUUUUAACUAUAAAGUGAGUGGCGAACGGGUGAGUAACACGUGGGUAACCUGCCCAGAAGUGGGGGAUAACACCUGGAAACAGAUGCUAAUACCGCAUAAUAAAGUAAACCGCAUGGUUUUCUUUUAAAAGAUGGCUUCGGCUAUCACUUCUGGAUGGACCCGCGGCGUAUUAGCUAGUUGGUGAGAUAAAGGCCCACCAAGGCUGUGAUACGUAGCCGACCUGAGAGGGUAAUCGGCCACAUUGGGACUGAGACACGGCCCAGACUCCUACGGGAGGCAGCAGUAGGGAAUCUUCCACAAUGGACGAAAGUCUGAUGGAGCAACGCCGCGUGAGUGAUGAAGGCUUUAGGGUCGUAAAACUCUGUUGUUGGAGAAGAACGUGUGUGAGAGUAACUGCUCAUGCAGUGACGGUAUCCAACCAGAAAGCCACGGCUAACUA
rnacentral:rRNA from 1 species